AAUGAUGUGUUUGGAGAAAUAUGCAUCAUGGAGUCUGUCUUCUUGAGAAGCAUUUUUGAGUGAGAAUAAUUCUCAUAAAUAAUGAUGGAUAUAUCUUCAAGAACUUCGUU
rfam:Arabidopsis lyrata subsp. lyrata unplaced genomic scaffold ARALYscaffold_5, whole genome shotgun sequence.